GUCAGCAGCCAUACCACCUGCAGUUCAGGCUUGGUAAUCCACUUGAAGCUAAGUGGGUUUGGGCCUGGCCAGCACUUGGAUGGGAUGCCAGCUACGAAAGCUGUGUUGUUGCUGGGA
rnacentral:rRNA from 1 species